rnacentral:rRNA from 1 species
GAUGAACGCUGGCGGCGUGCCUAAUACAUGCAAGUCGAGCGAACAGACGAGGAGCUUGCUCCUCUGACGUUAGCGGCGGACGGGUGAGUAACACGUGGAUAACCUACCUAUAAGACUGGGAUAACUUCGGGAAACCGGAGCUAAUACCGGAUAAUAUAUUUAACCGCAUGGUUCAAUAGUGAAAGACGGUUUUGCUGUCACUUAUAGAUGGAUCCGCGCCGCAUUAGCUAGUUGGUAAGGUAACGGCUUACCAAGGCAACGAUGCGUAGCCGACCUGAGAGGGUGAUCGGACACACUGGAACUGAGACACGGUCCAGACUCCUACGGGAGGCAGCAGUAGGGAAUCUUCCGCAAUGGGCGAAAGCCUGACGGAGCAACGCCGCGUGAGUGAUGAAGGUCUUCGGAUCGUAAAACUCUGUUAUUAGGGAAGAACAAAUGUGUAAGUAACUAUGCACGUCUUGACGGUACCUAAUCAGAAAGCCACGGCUAACUACGUG